AACGUAGGACGCAAGCGUUAUCCGGAGUUACUGGGCGUAAAGCGCGGGCAGGCGGCCCGUUCAGUCUGAGGUGAAAGCGCCCGGCUCAACCGGGCGAGGCCCUUGGAAACUGGCGGGCUGGAGGGCAGUAGAGGCAGGCGGAAUCCGGGUGGAGUGGUGGAAUGCGUAGAGAUCCGGAGGAACACCAGAGGCGAAGCGACGCCCUGGCUCGUACUGCGCUCAGCCACGAAAGCAUGGGGAGCGAACGGG
rnacentral:rRNA from 1 species